AAGUUACAUGCAGCACAAACCAGGCAACCAAGAGCUUUUGGUGGUCAUCACUGAAGAUGGAAACUGUGGCAGAUGGAAGUCUCUGCUUCUUGAAGAGAAACUAUGCAUUGAGUAUGCAUGAUCUGUGUGCCUGGAUAUCAUCUUUACCUGCUUUGUUCUGUAUGUUGUCAAAGAGGAUCGCUUUGGGGAGCAUUGUGUCUGUACACUCUGGAUGAACCCCUUUGAAGCAGGAGAGCCAGCACACUGGACCCAGCUGAUUCUAAGGAGCAGUUUCGAUCCAAUGUCCUGUGUUCCUAACAGCCAACAUGAUGUGUCUUCUACCCCAGCAUCGUGCCUUUCAUUGGACCCUGGAGCCAGCAUUAUACCAAAGUAGCUUGAGAAGUGAAAUUUUCUUAAUCCUGACAUGAGCCUAACUUGAACCGAGAGUCUAGAAAGAAUGUGGAGAGACAUUUCUUCGUUCCCUCCCAGUGAUGACGCAAGAGUGGAUGGCCCAUUAUACUCAGAACCCUUGGCAUCCAAAUUGUCAGCAACUCAUCAGCUAGUGUUUCUUCCUUGAAGGGCGAAGUCUCAAUCCUCAAAUGUUCUAGGAGGUGAGUAGAAAUUUUUGCCUUCCAUCGUUUUAAUGUAGCAAAGCAAAA